UAGCAGGGUCUUGCUAUGUUGCCUAGGUUGGUCUCAAACUCCUGGACUCAAGUGAUCCUGCCACCUCAGCCUCCCAAAGUGCCAGGAUAACAGUCCUAAGCCACCAUGCCUGACUAUUUUUUUCAUUUAUAUUGCUGGCAAUAACACAAAUAAUUGAAAUCAGUUUCAAGUCAUCAAAAGAUAACUGAGGCUUCCCAGUUUGUGGGGGAGAAAAUGGUGAAUUAGCAGAGUUUGUCUAAAGCUUAAGUUCUUUUAGAGUGAAAGUGUUUUAAGGGGGUUUUUUGAUAUUAACAUUAAUACCAAAAGCCAAAACAUCUCUGCCAGCAAUAUUUUAUGUGCUCAAAGUGGGUAAGGGUUGUGGAGCGCUUUUUUUUUUUUUUGAGAUGGAGUUUCACUCUUUGUUGCCCAGGCUGGAGUACAAUGGCGUGAUCUCAGCUCACUGCAAACUCUGCCUCUCGGGUUCAAGCGAUUCUCCUGCCUCAGCCUCCCCAGUAGCUGGGAUUACAGGCGCCUGCCACCAUGCCCAGCUAAUUUUUUUGUAUUUUUAGUAGAGACAGGGUUUCACCACGUUGGCCAGGGUGGUCUUGAACUCCUGAGUAAGCCGAGAUUGUCCAGGCUGACGGGCAAUGGCGGGAUCAUGGCUCAGUGCAGUUUCGAUCUCCUGGGCUCAAGUGGUCCUCCCACCUCAGCCUCCCAAGAAGUUGGGACCACAGGAGGGGGCCACCAUACCCGGCUAAUUUUUUUGAUGUUUUGUAGAUAUAGGGUCUCCCUAUGUUGCCCAGGUUGGUCUCUAACUCCUGAGCUCAAGUGUUCUGCCCACUUCAGCCUCCCAAAGUGCUAGGGUGAAAGGCCUGAGUCACCACUGCCAGCCAAUUGCUGAAGUUUUUGGAAAAGAAAAUUCUUGUCUGAUCCAUGGGAGUUGCUUCAAAGGCCACAGGAUUCUGCUGCAAAUUCUAACAGGAGGAGGCAAUGGCAGCCCUUACUAAAACCGCAGAACUACAGGAAGAGGAUCCCUGAGUGGGAUUCCUGUGUGAAAGGCAUUUUCACCUUUUUGUGUAUCUUCAGAAUCUUAACUUUCAUGAGAGAAGAAUAGAAAUGCAACAAUGGAACAAUCCACUGUAUACACGUAGCUGACAAUUUAAUAAACUUGAAGGAAAUGCUACAGGAUUCUACAAAUAAUAACUGUCAUCCUUAUGGAGCAGGUACCAGAUGACAAUAAACAGGCCAAACUGCAAUGACAUCUCAGCAAAGCCCACAUAUACCACUUAUAUAUUUGGGAGAUUUUCAUAGUUUUGAAAUGCUUUUGAAUCUUUUUAAAGCCCUGUUUCUCUGCAAUAGUAAUAGAGAUGGGGUUUUGCCGUGUUGCUCAGGCUGGACUGAAACUCCUGAGCACAAACAGUUCACCAACCUUGGCUCCCCGAAAUGUUGGAAUUACAGGCAUGAGCCUCCCUACCCUGCCAUAAAUUAAUUCCUGUCUUUAAUAGCCUCUCUUGUUCUCCAUUUUCUCUAUUUCUUCUACAAGAUAAUUCUGCAUGUUUUCUAUCAUUGAAUUUUAUACAGUCUGGGAGAAAAGCAAUAAGCCUUAUUAUAAAUUUCUUCAGGAUACAGGACAUAGAGUUUUCCUUCCUUUCUUUUUUAUUUCUUCAUACAUCAAACACCUGUUAUAUAAAAGAGAAUGUGCUGCAAACUAAGGAAUAAAAAUAUGCAUGAUAGGGUCCUUGCUCUCCAAGAGCUGACAAACAAGCAAGUAAGAUGGGCAUGUAACCCAACGUAUAAGAUGGCACUAUAGAAACACCAUGUCUCUUUGCAAAAGAGAAAGCUGAUGGCUUGCUGGCUGACAGAUAAAAGCACCAUGUCUGUAUCCAGUCUGUCUUCAGCUUCUUUUGUUGUUUACUUAGUUGCCGCCCCCGCCUCUCCUUCCACACCUCCCCGCAAGCUGAGGGAGCUGGCUCCGGCCUUGGCCAGCCUGAAAGGGGCUCCCAUAGUGCAGCGGUGGGCUGAAGGGCUCCUCAAGCGCAGCCAGAGUGGGCGCCAAGGCCCAGGAGGCACGGAGAGCGAGCGAGGGCUGCCAGGGCUGCCAGCAUGCUGUCACCUCUCAAUAUUAGGAGCAGAGAAGCCAGCUCAGCCAACCUGGCAUUCUGAUCUAUAGAAACUGAGAGCAGAACUUAUCUUUUAUAAAAAUGAACAUUUAUUUAGAUGAAGGUUAAAAGACAGAAAUGCUGUUCUGAGUGAAAUGUCUAUAAUAAUUGAACUUUUGAGCCACAGGGGCAAGUCGGUACUUCACCAGGUACUCUCCAAAAAUCUUUUUGUAGGCUUUAAAAUACAAAUGCCUUUAGAAUGUCAAACUUAUAUUUCUUCAAACGAAAGAAAAUCCUUCUGGAAUAUUAAAUGGGCUUAUAAAGAAGAGUUUUGGCUAAAAGGAGAUCAAAUAUUUUAUCAAAAGUUCGGUUCAUCAUUGCGAGAGAAAAGAUCAUGGAAUAGCUGCUUAAGAUUACAAAGGAGCCGUGAUAGCUUCUGUUAAUGAUAGUGCAUAGCCAAUUUUGUCUUUGUACUUGCUUUAUAAGAGUUCUCACCAUUGGUUUUCUUUUGUACUUUUCUUUUUUGGUGAUUAUAGAACUUGAUUAUUAUGGGUUUGAAAAUUGUAGAGG
rnacentral:lncRNA from 1 species